rnacentral:lncRNA from 1 species
AAAUUAAGAAAAGAAAUAGAGGUAAGUCUUAAUUAUCUAGAUUUCAAUGUUUUAUGGGACCAUUUUUAAAACUUAACACUAUAUUCAUAUUUCCAUAGUUUACUCUCAAUACUCAAAACAGUUGAAGAACAAGAAAGAACUAUAAAAUUUAGUAAAUACAAAUCAUUAAUAGAUAACUAGAGAUAACCCCCUCAUUCAAAGAUGUUCAAAUAUGUGAAUGUGUUCAAACAAUGCAAGCAUUCACUCCUAUUUAAAUCUGGGCGAGGGUUCUUCCAGGUUUUUCUCAUUCCACUAAGAACAUGAUACCCAAUUAAUGGCUAGAAAGCAGCUAUGUAGUCAAAGAGGAUGCCCAUUCUUAGAUAUCAAAGACUCCUCAAAAUAGAAUAAAACACAAUGGAAAGCAUCGUCUUUCCAAACCUCUCUGACUUCAUAUUCGCAAUUAUCAAGAGUCAAGUUAAAAAAACAAACUGAAAAUAUGCAAAAUUGAAAGUCAGAGUAAAUUCAUAAUGUGUUGUGGUGCUGCCUGUGGACUUCUAUUGUCAUUAUUGUUUGGAUGAAUGGUGAACAGAAAUGUAAAAUAAUAUGCUAUUAAGGGCAAAUAAUUUUUGCCUGAAUACAUUAAUUUGGAAAAUAAAAAUAUGCAUGUUUCAA